UGAAAAAAUAAAUUUGUGAUGAAUUGGAAACACAAAGAAUUUUGAGCUUGGAAUAUUCCUUGCUGUCCCUAACUCUGAUGAUAAAGUUGCCUUCUAACUCCUGAUACAGAUGUCAGUGGCUGUGGUCAACUUCUAUGGCUCUGCUACAUGUCUUCUCAUUCCAGAUUCCAGCCUCAAAAAGUGUGCCUUAUUUGGGACAUCCAAAAAAGAAGAACUCUUGAUGCCUCCUAAAGUUUCUAAAUGUCCAGAAGUGUUCCUCAGAAAGAAUGUGCAUAGGUAGCGAGUUUCUCAAUAAAAAGCUUCUUCAUAAAAACUACAUAGAGGACUUAUGCUUCCAGCCAAGAUUGAUUGCACCGUGGGAAGAUUCAGAGCUCCCUUCUUCUGUAGACACUCAGCUGAAUGAGAAAACACAAACAUCAAAAACAGGUAGGAAAGACUGAAGACACAUUUUUUGGUAAGGAACUCCCAAAUCCCAGCUUUAGUUAGGCUAGGGUCCAUGAGACCUACAAGACUAUGGCACACAAAGGAGCAGUUGCUAGUGAGCACAAAGGCACUCUUCAGUAGACAUCCUAUACCCUGCCCUGCCUCCUGCCAGCUCAGUAUGGAGUGAGCAGGCAAAAUGGCCCAUCUCCCAGUCUUUCCUGAAAGAGUUACAUCUGCCUACUUUGAAAGCACUGCCUAAGUUGGCUUCUAAUGUAGCAUAUAUC